AUUUUUAACAUCUUACAUUAUUAUGGUGCAUUUGUUACAAUUAAUCAAUCACGGUUCAUAAACUAUUAUUAACUUAGUUUAUUCAGAUUGUUAUUCAGAUUGCCUUAGUUUUUACCUAAUGUAUUUUUUCUGUUCCAGAAUUCCAUCUAGGAUGUCACAUUAAUUUAAUAGUCACAUCUCCUUAGGUUCCUCUUGAUAGAGAUUCUUAGACUUUUCUUGUUUUUGGUGACUUUGACAGUUUUGAAGAGUACCGGGCAGAUAUUGUGGAGGACAUCCCUUAGUAUGGUUAUAGAUGAUGUUUUCCUCAGAUUAGACUGGAGCGAUCUGUUCUUGGGAUGAAGACCACAGAGGCAACAGAAACAAUCUUUGUCCAACCAGCAAAAGAGGGAUUUGGAGAAAGAAAAUGAAGCAGCUUAUGGAACAGAAGGUCAGGAGAGUCCCAAGAAGAAGGAUCAUAUCUGGUUUCCUCUUCUGCCUCUCCCCAUGGUGUCUAGGAGAGUGCACACUC
rnacentral:lncRNA from 1 species